rnacentral:rRNA from 1 species
GGUAACCCUUGAAUAAACUACCCUUGUUGCUUUGGCGGGCCGCCUCUCUUGGCCAGCGGCUCCGGCUGCUGCGCGCCCGCCAGAGGACCACAACUCUUGUUUUUAGUGAUGUCUGAGUACUAUAUAAUAGUUAAAACUUUCAACAACGGAUCUCUUGGUUCUGGCAUCGAUGAAGAACGCAGCGAAAUGCGAUAAGUAAUGUGAAUUGCAGAAUUCAGUGAAUCAUCGAAUCUUUGAACGCACAUUGCGCCCUUUGGUAUUCCGAAGGGCAUGCCUGUUCGAGCGUCAUUAUAACCACUCAAGCCUUCGCUUGGUAUUGGGGUUCGCGGUUUCGCGGCCCCUAAAAUCAGUGGCGGUGCCUGUCGGCUCUACGCGUAGUAAUACUCCUCGCGUCUGGGUUCCGGUAGGUUGCUUGCCAGCAACCCCUAAAUUUUUUACAGGUUGACCUCGGAUCAGGUAGGGA